AACGAACGCUGGCGGCAUGCCUAACACAUGCAAGUCGAACGAGACCUUCGGGUCUAGUGGCGCACGGGUGCGUAACGCGUGGGAACCUGCCCUUAGGUUCGGAAUAACUCCCCGAAAGGGGUGCUAAUACCGGAUAAUGUCUUCGGACCAAAGAUUUAUCGCCUUUGGAUGGGCCCGCGUUGGAUUAGCUAGUUGGUAGGGUAAAAGCCUACCAAGGCGACGAUCCAUAGCUGGUCUGAGAGGAUGAUCAGCCACACUGGGACUGAGACACGGCCCAGACUCCGACGGGAGGCAGCAGUGGGGAAUAUUGGACAAUGGGCGAAAGCCUGAUCCAGCAAGGCCGCGGGAGUGAUGAAGGCCUUAGGGUGGUAAAGCUCUUUUACCCGGGAUGAUAAGGACAGGACCGGGAGAAUAAGCUCCGGCGAACUCCGU
rnacentral:rRNA from 1 species